rnacentral:lncRNA from 1 species
GCACAAUUGUUUUCAGUCAGAAAUUCAGUUGAAUUUGAACAUCAAUUUAACAUUUAUUUGUAAAACGAUAAAAUUUCUUAAAAUUGAUAGUGUUCAGGUGUUAAUCUUUUGUAUUGUUUAUCUUGAACUAAUAACCCAAGACAACAUAUGUCACAUUGUUUAUGUCUAAAGUAUUAGUGUCCAUGGACCCAGUUAAUUUAAAAGAAAUAAUUAUUUAUAUAAAUGUAGAAAUUGAAGAGAAAACACACUUAAGAAAAAAUACAUAAAAGUCAAAAUAUCACUCAACAUUUAACAUAACUUAAUUGUUUUUAUAUAUGCUCUCAAAUAUGUGAAGUUUUUUUAGCAUAUUGAAGUAAUUCUUGGCUACAAUUAUCAAUCAGUAUUUAACAUAAUUUAAUUGUUUUUUAUAUAUGUUCUCAAAUAUGUGAAGUUUUGUUGAGCAGAUUGAAGCAAUUCUUGGCUUUCAGAAUUGAAGGUGAUUUUAUGUAAUGGGAGGAUCUUCUUUUCUAUAUGAAGAUGAUACAAUACACUUCAUAGUGAGAAAGAACUUUUUAACAUCGUAUCCUUCUUCGAAUGGAGAGUAUGGUCGACAACCAUGGUGUUUCUUCAGUAAAAAAGGCAUUUUUU